rnacentral:lncRNA from 1 species
GAAAGGAGACUUACACAGGUUCCCUAAGCUUGACUUCCAGAGCAUUCUGGGAACUGGGAGGCUACACAUUUCAGGUUCAAGCUUACUGAAGUACUUAUUUUUUUGGUUUGGGUAGGGUGGCAGCUGAGGGGGAAAAAAAGGAAGGUGUGAGGUCAUACUUCUAGGCUGAAAGAUUUAUAUGUAUUACAGAAGUUGCUUCUAAUGCAAAGGAGAUAGGCAAAGAAACGAACCUUCAAGAACAUGCUACUGGAGCCAAAUCUGGAACCUUUUGGACUUCUCCAACUAACUCCACAGU